AUGAAGUGGCAGCCGUUCAUGUCCACAUUUGUGCUGAAUAAGAUUUGUGAGCUCAUCUUUAGUGGAGUUAGGACUGACAAGGGCUUCAAGGAGGUGCACUUGAACACCGUUGCGAAGCAGGUGUUCGAGUUCUAUGGGCAGGAGGUGUCUGCCACCCAGGUGUACAACCACCUGAGGAAGUGGAGAGGUCGAUGGAUCCAAGUGUCCAAGCUGAGAGACCUUAGCGGCGCCUCAUGGGAUGAGAACACUUGCUCCAUAGUUCUGGAGGCAGAGCAUUACGUCGGCCAUGUCACAGACCACCCAAGGGACGCUGAGUUCCUCAGCACACCCAUACAGAACUGCAGCCAGAUGCAGCACAUCUUCUCCUUCGGGCUGGCAACUGGGAAGCAUGCCAUGGGCUUGGGGGAGCCUCUUGGUUCUCCCAUGCCAGACUUCCCUGGGACCCUGGACAUCGAGGUCCUUGAUGGCCUUGACAAGCCCUUUCAGAAUCCCUUUGAUAAGCCAUUUCACCCCGUCCAUGAUAGGAAGAGGAAGAGAGGAGGCCUGAUGGAGGAGGAGAUCAAUGUCUUUUGCAGCAUAACUAAGGCGGUGACGAAGGUGGCAACAUCCAUCAGGGAGUGCAAGCCCCUCGAUGUCCACCCUGACCUGUAUGGCACUGUCAUGACCCAGAGUGGCUUCAGCGACAAGGCUGUCAUGGCAGCUCUCAGCCAUCUGCUUGACAACAAGGCCCAGGGUGUUGGGUUCGUUGCCAUGGCAGACGCUUAG
rnacentral:rRNA from 1 species